rnacentral:rRNA from 1 species
AUGCGUUUUGUGCGGCGCAUCCAGGAGUCUGAGGUGAAGGAGGCUUUAAAAAGGAUGAAAGGAGGCAAGGCGAUGGGCCCUGAUUGUAUCCCCAUUGAGGUGUGGAAAGGUCUCGGGGACGUAGCGAUAGUAUGGCUAACCAAGCUUUUCAACCUCAUUUUUCGGGCAAACAAGAUGCCAGAAGAAUGGAGACGGAGUAUAUUAGUACCAAUCUUCAAGAACAAGGGGGAUGUUCAGAGUUGUACUAAUUACCGUGGAAUUAAGCUGAUGAGCCAUACAAUGAAGCUAUGGGAGAGAGUCAUUGAGCACCACUUAAGAAGAAUGACAAGCGUGACCAAAAAUCAGUUUGGUUUCAUGCCUGGGAGGUCGACCAUGGAAGCCAUUUUCUUGGUACGACAACUUAUGGAGAGAUAUAGGGAGCAUAAGAAGGACUUGCAUAUGGUGUUCAUUGACUUGGAGAAGGCCUAUGAUAAGAUACCGCGGAAUGUCAUGUGGUGGGCCUUGGAGAAACACAAAGUCCCAGCAAAGUACAUUACCCUCAUCAAGGACAUGUACAAUAAUGUUGUGACAAGUGUUCGAACAAGUGAUGUCGACACCGAUGACUUCCCGAUUAAGAUAGGACUGCAUCAGGGGUCAGCUUUGAGCCCUUAUCUUUUUGCAUUGGUGAUGGAUGAGGUCACAAGGGGUAUACAAGGAGAUAUCCCAUGA